rnacentral:rRNA from 1 species
CACUCCUUGAAGUUAGCGGCGGACGGGUGAGUAACACGUGGGUAACCUACCUAUAAGACUGGGAUAACUUCGGGAAACCGGAGCUAAUACCGGAUAAUAUAUACCUCCGCAUGGAGGAAUAGUCAAAGACGGUUCUGCUGUCACUUAUAGAUGGACCCGCGGUGUAUUAGCUAGUUGGUGAGGUAACGGCUCACCAAGGCAACGAUACAUAGCCGACCUGAGAGGGUGAUCGGCCACACUGGGACUGAGACACGGCCCAGACUCCUACGGGAGGCAGCAGUAGGGAAUCUUCCGCAAUGGACGAAAGUCUGACGGAGCAACGCCGCGUGAGUGAAGAAGGUUUUCGGAUCGUAAAACUCUGUUGUAAGGGAAGAACAAGUACGUUAGUAAC